CCCUUAGAUGUUCUGGGCCGCACGCGCGCUACACUGAACAGUUCAACAAGUCUUAACCUUGGCCGAUAGGUCUGGGUAAUCUUUGAACGCUGUUCGUGAUUGGGAUAGACCUUUGCAAUUAUGGGUCUUCAACGAGGAAUUCCUAGUAAACGCAAGUCAUCAGCUUGCAUUGAUUACGUCCCUGCCCUUUGUACACACCGCCCGUCGCACCUACCGAUUGAAUGGUCCGGUGAAAUCUCGGGACGGCGGCUUGGUCGCUUGCGUCCGACUGCUGAAACUUGAUUAAACCAUAUCAUUUAGAGGAAGGUGAAGUCGUANCA
rnacentral:rRNA from 1 species